GACGAACGCUGGCGGCAGGCCUAACACAUGCAAGUCGAGCGGAGCGGCGGACGGGUGAGUAAUGCCUAGGAAUCUGCCUGGUCGUGGGGGAUAGCGUCCGGCAACGGGCGCUAAUACCGCAUACUAUCAGAUGAGCCUAGGUCGGAUUGGCUAGGUGGUGGGGUAAAGGCCUACCAAGGCGACGAUCCGUAACUGGUCGGAGAGGAUGAUCAGUCACACUGGAACUGAGACACGGUCCAGACUCCUACGGGAGGCAGCAGUGGGGAAUAUUGCACAAUGGGCGCAAGCCUGAUGCAGCCAUGCCGCGUGUGUGAAGAAGGCCUUCGGGUUGUAAAGCACUUUCAGCGGGGAGGCGUUACCCGCAGAAGAAGCACCGGCUAACUCCGUGCCAGCAGCCGCGGUAAUAC
rnacentral:rRNA from 1 species